rnacentral:rRNA from 1 species
CCUACGGGUGGCUGCAGUCGAGAAUCAUUCACAAUGGGGGAAACCCUGAUGGGGCGACGCCGCGUGGGGGAAUGAAGGUCUCCGGAUUGUAAACCCCUGUCAUGUGGGAGCAAAUUAAAAAGAUAGUACCACAAGAGGAAGAGAAGGCUAACUCGGUGCCAGCAGCCGCGGUAAUACAGAGGUCUCAAGCGUUGUUCGGAAUCACUGGGCGUAAAGCGUGCGUAGGCUGUUUCGUAAGUCGUGUGUGAAAGGCGCGGGCUCAACCCGCGGACGGCAUAUGAUACUGCGAGACUAGAGUAAGGGAGGGGGAACCGGAAUUCUCGGUGUAGCAGUGAAAUGCGUAGAUAUCGAGAGGAACACUCGUGGCGAAGGCGGGUUCCUGGACAUUAACUGACGCUGAGGCACGAAGGCCAGGGGAGCGAAAAGGAUUAGAUACCCUGGUAGUC